CACAAGUUAGAAAGUGGAGGCACAGGAGGAAAACCAGAGUUGCUGAGCCCCUGCAGUAUGCCAAGGAAGAGGCCACUGAGUGACUCAAGCCAGGUCCUCCCAAGCUCAAUCCUGCUUUACUUAGGUAGCGGCUGUGCCUGGUCUUGAGCACCUGUCCCGGUCCAGGCCUUCUCACCUUCAUUGUCAUCCCUCAUCCUUCCGAGUCCCUCAAAGUACUCCACACCCCUGGACCUACCUCAGCCCCCACAGCCCGAGCCGCUGCAGAGUGGCCGCCCACAGCCUCCUCCCGGCCGCCUGCCCAGCUCCCCCUGGACGACCUGGAGGAGCUCAGUGAGGCCCUGAGCCGCGCCGUGAGGGCCGCCAGGAGCGUCCGCGUCACCACCAGACACAUGCGCCACUCCCUGCUGGCCGCCCUGCACCAGGCCCGCGGCCCAUGGGGCUCCUGCCUCUUCUGACCCCCUCGCGGCUCAGAGAUGGGUGGGCGGCAGGAGGGCCCGGCAGCCAGAGGCCGGAAGGAGCCCGGAGACACCCCCCAGCAGGAGGUGACCCCCCAGCAAGGCCCCGCCUGCUCAGUCUGGGUUUUUCAAGGGAGGGGGCAUCACGGGUCAUCCAGAGAGUAACUUCUUGGGGGACCAGCCUCCUGAAGGCAGGGAGGGGACCAAGGCCUCUUCUGUACAGGCUGAGCCCCUGGGAGGGUUUUCUCCUCCUCCUGCACUUGCCCGCUCCAGCUAAUAAGAUGUAAUUUAUGUGUGAUUGGACACGUGGUUUUGUAAACUGAGGCUUAUUUCUGGUCUUGGAGACAGCUCAGGAGGAUGGAAAAGAAGG